UACGUAGGGCGCAAGCGUUAUCCGGAAUUAUUGGGCGUAAAGAGCUCGUAGGCGGUUUGUCGCGUCUGCCGUGAAAGUCCGGGGCUCAACUCCGGAUCUGCGGUGGGUACGGGCAGACUAGAGUGAUGUAGGGGAGACUGGAAUUCCUGGUGUAGCGGUGAAAUGCGCAGAUAUCAGGAGGAACACCGAUGGCGAAGGCAGGUCGCUGGGCAUUAACUGACGCUGAGGAGCGAAAGCAUGGGGAGCGAGCAGG
rnacentral:rRNA from 1 species